rnacentral:lncRNA from 1 species
UCUCCCUCUCUCCCGAAGUCGGGUAUUAUCAGACAGGCAUCCCGGCAUUGCCCGCAGGCAGAUUCUGGCCCCUCUGAGAAUACCCUAGACACCCCGCAGAGCGGUGCAGGCACUGUCUCUGCUUCUACCCGUUCCCCUUCUUCCCCGCGCUGUACAGCCCCGUCCCGUAGAGACUCCGUUCGUUUUCAGUUAUCCCAGACCCCCGAAGAUCCCUCAUCCCCCAUCCACCACCCCCAAACCCCACAAAAUGGCUUCCCUUCUCCCCCCUUCCCCAGGACACAAGAUGGCGGAGACCCCAUGGCUUUUCCCGCCACUUGUGCUUCUUCUUCCCAUGAUCCCUGUCCUCCCCCCUCCCAAAACCCCUUCCGGCAGACCAACCCUUUCCGGUCCCACGACUUCUCCGCCCAUCUCCCUCCUCCACCCCCGGCAGACUCCUCCUCUCUUGAAUUAUUUAACACCCCACCCCUCAGCUCCAACCCCGGGGAGGGGAGUCCCCAACAUACCACUCCCCCUGCUCCAGACCAUGCCUCAUCCCCUGGUUCCCACGACCCCACAUCCGGUUCCCACGCUUUCGGUUCCGGGGGGGGGAGCGUGGGAACCCCGAUCCACCCCAAUCCCUGCCUGCCUUCUCGGCCGCACCUGUCACCUGUACCCCGCGGCGGGGGGUAGGCCCCUUGCACAGUGGUCCCCCAUCCCCCAGCAGACCAUCAAAGAGCUCUGCAAGGCCCAGAAGGAGUUCGGGAGGGAAAGUGAGUACUUCCGAGGCUUAUUGAAGGCAACCCUCUCCUCCAAAGAAUAUGUCCCCGCGGACAUUCGGACUCUCUUCUCCUGCCUUAUCACCCACGGAGAAUUUUUAAUCUGGGAAUCCGAAUGGAAGCGGGAGAUCAGGGAGGUGUUGCCUGACCUCUGGGCCAAUGCAGAUAGCUCUAGGGAUGAAGAUGGGGCAAUAAUAUCCGUAGACCACUUGUGCGGGGAGGGGGAUUGGAAAAUGGGGACCAAGCAGGCA